CAUUCCUUUGCGACAACGCGGUCCGCACAGUUCUCCCCCGUCAGGAUUGACGGGGCAAAAUCCGCAACGGGCGCGAUCGUCGUACUUUUCGAGGCACAAGGCAACCCGAUGGGGCAACUAGGGGAGACAAACCCCCCCGCCCUCAUAACUUUCCGCAUCCGAAACCACGAGCAACAGACAUAUGCGCCGACGCAGCCAUGUCGUGGCAUGCGUGGAACACGUGCAUCGCUACAACGUCGGCCCCGUGCCAUGACUGGCAAAGGGCGAAGGGGAAGAAAAUCAAAUUCGAUUUCCACAAUAACGGGUAAGCAACACAGGAACCUAGCAUCACCACGAAAAACAUUUCGGGUGCUUGUAUCUGAAGGGAUCGCCGGAGGACAGUUCGGUGCGCGAAGCAUGGAGCCUG
rnacentral:misc_RNA from 1 species